AUUGAACGCUGGCGGCAUGCUUUACACAUGCAAGUCGAACGGCAGCGCAGGCUUCGGCCUGGCGGCGAGUGGCGAACGGGUGAGUAAUGCAUCGGAACGUGCCCAGUAGUGGGGGAUAGCCCGGCGAAAGCCGGAUUAAUACCGCAUACGACCUGAGGGUGAAAGCGGGGGGCCGAAAGGCCUCGCGCUAUUGGAGCGGCCGAUGUCGGAUUAGCUAGUUGGUGGGGUAAAGGCUUACCAAGGCGACGAUCCGUAGCUGGUCUGAGAGGACGACCAGCCACACUGGGACUGAGACACGGCCCAGACUCCUACGGGAGGCAGCAGUGGGGAAUUUUGGACAAUGGGGGCAACCCUGAUCCAGCCAUGCCGCGUGCGGGAAGAAGGCCUUCGGGUUGUAAACCGCUUUUGUUCGGGAAGAAAUCCUCUGGGCUAAUACCCCGGGGGGAUGACGGUACCGGAAGAAUAAGCACCGGCUAACUACGUG
rnacentral:rRNA from 1 species